CCAUCUCAGGCUAUAAACAGGAAGUACGAGGUCGGGGAGAAAGAGAGAGAGAGAGAGAGAAGAGAGAGAAAGGCCCUCCCAGUUAUUUGCAGCUUCUUAAGAGGGUAGAAAGGGAGUGGUUACGUGGUACCUGCCCCAGGUCCCAGGUGCGGGGAGGGACAUCCUGGGAAAGGGGUUAUUUGACUGACAGGUGGGCAGAUAGGAUUACUUAGGGUGGGGAGGCGUGGCUUCCUGCUCCUGGCCCUAAUCCAGCUCCCUGCCCUAUGCAUCCCAGGUCCCUCUGAGGGUUCCCAGCUCAGACCUGGGUCCGUCCCAGCUGAAAUUUGGUCUCCUCUGCUUGGUUUCCUCCACCUCCCUCGUCCUUGGGAUUCCGUUACCUCUUGUUGUCGCUGGUGUUCUGUUUGCUUUCUGAUUUAGCCUCUCGGCGGCUGGGGAAUCGAAUCCCCACAUCUAGACGGAGUCUGACGUAGAUUUUAAUGCCAUCUGAGAGGUGAGAACAGCUUGGGAAACACAGCUUAGAAGUCCUUAUCUUUGCAUUUCCAGAACGUUCUGAGGCUUACGGAUGUGGACACUUGGACGUCGGCUGCUAGCUCCCUGGACUCCGUCUCUCUCGUUCAUCCUGGAUCUUUUUUCUCAGUCGAGAUGCGCUGCCAGUCUCUUUAGACAACAUCAGGUCUGCAAAGCUCGCUUCAGAGAAGUGGGCGCACGGAUCUGCCACAUUCGACUUGUCGAAACCUCGCGAACGCGCUUUGGCUUUCUCCAGGCGUUAUUAACAACCGGCCUUGUGUUUGGAGACCAUUUUUUAAUUUUGCAAGGCUCUCGUGAGAACGCCAUCAGGGAGUUGUCAGAUGGAACAGUGCGGAGGAAGACGUCGGGCCACGGGGCAGGUGUGAGACGCAAAGUUGUUCUUUGCUGUCAACAGAUGACCUCACUUCUGACAGUAUCUUCACCCAAUUACCCUUUGAAAACACUUUUGCUUGGGUUUGAACUCCCUGUGGACCUGCGAGGCACUGAACUGAUCAUGUCCUUAGUACCUCUCUAG
rnacentral:lncRNA from 1 species